GAGCGUAGGUGGCUUGAUAAGUCAGAUGUGAAAGCCCCGGGCUCACCUGGGAACGGCAUCUGAUACUGUUAAGACUAGAGUAGGUGAGAGGAAGGUAGAAUUCCAGGUGUAGCGGUGAAAUGCGUAGAGAUCUGGAGGAAUACCGAUGGCGAAGGCAGCCUUCUGGCAUCAUACUGACACUGAGGUUCGAAAGCGUGGGUAGCAAACAGGAUUAGAUACCCUGGUAGUCCACGCCGUAAACGAUGUCUACUAGUCGUUGGGUCCCUUGAGGACUUAGUGACGCAGCUAACGCAAUAAGUAGACCGCCUGGGGAGUACGGCCGCAAGGUUAAAACUCAAAUGAAUUGACGGGGGCCCGCACAAGCGGUGGAGCAUGUGGUUUAAUUUGAUGCAACGCGAAGAACCUUACCUGGUCUUGACAUAUCCUGAAUCCUGCAGAGAUGCGGGAGUGCCUUCGGGAAUUAGAAUACAGGUGCUGCAUGGCUGUCGUCAGCUCGUGUCGUGAGAUGUUGGGUUAAGUCCCGCAACGAGCGCAACCCUUGUCCUUAGUUACCAGCGGUUUGGCCGGGAACUCUAAGGAUACUGCCAGUGACAAACUGGAGGAAGGCGGGGACGACGUCAAGUCAUCAUGGCCCUUACGACCAGGGCUACACACGUGCUACAAUGGUAGGUACAGAGGGCAGCUACACAGCGAUGUGAUGCGAAUCUCAAAAAGCCUAUCGUAGUCCAGAUUGGAGUCUGCAACUCGACUCCAUGAAGUAGGAAUCGCUAGUAAUCGCGGAUCAGAAUGCCGCGGUGAAUACGUUCCCUGGGCCUUGUACACACCGCCCGUCACACCAUGGGAGUUGAUUGCUACCAGAAGAUCUUAGCUUAACCAGUCAGGACAAGGUACCCCCUAGAG
rnacentral:rRNA from 1 species